rnacentral:lncRNA from 1 species
CUGCAGGAGCCAUACUCUAUUAAGUUCUUAUUACAUGGCACCAGGCACUGUGCCAAACAUCUUGCACAUCAUAUGUCACUGAAUUUUCACGAUGUCUCUGUAAAUUGGUACUGUUAUUGUGUCUGUUUUAUAGACGUAGAACUGAAGCUCAGAGAAGCUGAGGGACGUGCCUAAGACUACAGAGCCAGGCAAGUUGCAGAACUGGGAUUAGAACCCAGCUCUGUUUGACUGCAAAGUCUGUUCCUGUCCCCCACUCCCCAUAAACUUCACUGCCCACUUUCCUCCUCCCUUCCUUUCUCCUUCCCACCACUUUGCAGAAUCAGAAUAUAUCAUAGAAGGAAAAAAAUAGCUUUUCCUGACAAGGCCUCUUCUUCUCAAUAUUAUUCUAAUGAGGAUAUUCUAACAGAAACUCUGGGGGCACAUUACAUCUCAUUAGACCCAUUUGAUGUCAAUUAUUAACUCCCCAGGUUAAUUUAACACAUACAAUGGCUAUCAGCUUACAUCCCUAGGCCCUGCUGAUGUAGGGCUUACAAGUAAACCAACUUCCCCCACAGAUAAUCCUAACUCUAGUAGCGAGUUGGCCUUCUGUUCUUGCUGUAAUACCAGAGUCAGGCAGGACAGCUUGUAAGUGUGCACAGGUUCAGGAAAAGGGCUCAGUCAACGGACCAGCAGCUUCGCCUACAAGUGCUUCUGCAAAGUGACAUCGAAGCGGGAGACAGUUUGAGAUCCGGCUCCUUAAUACCAAGAGGACUGUGCAGAAAAGCAACCACCACUCAAGUGAAAAUUACACUCCUUAUCUCGGAGGAGUCCACGAAAUUCGGGCAACUUCAAGUAAAGGGUCAGCUCUCAAACACAGUGUUUUUGAAAACGACUAUGACUAUCUUAAACAUAUAUAUAUAGCUAUGCAAAUUCCACGUUUCCUUUCAUGCUAUUUUCAGAUUGUUUUUCAAAUUGAGCAUUAGACUCCGCAGCACACAGAGGAUGUUAGAUUAAAGGGCCAGUUGCCUUCCACAAGGUUUGGGUUUUCCGCAUUUGCCUAGAAAUAGCUUUUUGCUGGGUGGGCCAGGUGAAAUGCAACAAAGUUAUUGUUACCUCACUUCCCUUGGCUUUUUGGGUGGAGAAGCCAGAUGAAAGAGAAAAAGAGAAGAAGAAAAAUAAAGGAGAGGCCAGAGAGAAAGAACGAGGAGAGGGAGACGCCGUUUUGGACUCAAUGAGGUCAAAUCCAUCUACCACCAGAUUUUUGUUGUUGUUUAAAGAGUAAAUAGAGAAGAGGUUAAAAAAGAAAAAUCGGGCUUAUAACUAUGAUGAAAGCAGAAAUGUUCGCCCCUCACGUUGGACGUCAGUGCCAGUUUGCUCAAGAUGCGACAAGCGAUUACAUCUGCUAGUUUUGCUUCAGGCCACGAAGUAACAAACACAAUUGUUAUCAAGGAAUGAAUUGUGCAGAAGAAGAGCUUUGCCAUACUGUUUUCUCCAGGAAGCUGGUGAUGGAAAGAGAUGCUCCGUGCUCACGCCAUCCGCUCCUCGCCUCCUCCUCCAGCAACAGCACAGAGAAAGUCAGCAUUGGCUUCUUGAACGCUGAGCUCAUGAUUCUUUUCAUGGUUAGAUGCAGAUGCUCAAAAUUAAAUCUUUCAGAGACCUCAAACAAGGACGUUUCCCCCACCUCUGGAAAUCCCUCACUCAGCUUGAGUUGUUGUUGCUUCUGAAGGAGGCUUGUCCCCUCAGUGUUCCCCUCAGCUGCGCCCAGUGCCAUAGCUGGCUGGUCAAGAAGGGAUUUAAAGGGGCUCUAAGUCAGUGGGUUUCAAACUUGACUGUACUGUAGAAUCACCUGGAAAGUUUUAAACAAUACCCAUGCUUGGUACCACUGCCUGAGAUCCCAAUUUAGUCUGAGCACUUCUCUCUGCUAAAAAUUGGGCAGAAUUGAUCAUUUCAAGACUUAUUUUGGGAAUAAUUGUGCAAGAUUCCUGUUAAUGGGAUUUCUGGGAAAUCUGAAUGGACGCAAAGAGUGUGCGUGUGUGUGUGUGUGUGUGUGUGUGUGUGGUUGGGAGGGAGAGGGAAGUUUUAGAGGUCCCCUAACAUCAGUGUCCUCGCGAUGCUUCAGCCACAUUUCAUCCUUUCAGGUUGCAUGACUGCACACCUUCCCUUGCUGUUCCCUGUACCUGAAAACCUUUCUCUCCUGUCAUAGCCCCACUAGAGCCUUCUAUCUUGCUUCCUCCAGAAAGCCUCUCUGGGUCCCCUGGGCAGGGCUGGACCUCUGUUAUUCCCCCAAGGCAUUCUGGGCUUCUCCUUUAGAAUCCACGCCACAUGUUACUUGAUACCUAUUUCCACCCCCAAAUUAUAAGCACCAGGAGUACAAGAUCCUCCUCUGUAUUAGUCAGCUUAUAUCCUGCUGCCCAGCACUGUGCCUGGUACACAAUAAAUGGUCAAUAACCAUUUGCUGAACAAUUGAAUGUGGAUCAUUAUUUACUCCUCCCACUAUUUAGAUUGGAAAUGUCCUUGCUUCCAAUGGCCAUGCGACACCAGUGUCUAUAGGAUCCUGUAUUCCAGUGGUGGCAACCCGUUUGGUCUAUCUUCAAGGGCCCCUCUUGCUGGCCUUUGCCCUCUCUGUGUAAAGCAGGUAGCAGCAUACAGAGAUCAUCUCUGAAAGUCUGACCUCAGCUUGGGCUGGAAAGAGCACUGACAAGUCUAGAGAUGGGGGUUCAAGCUUGCCUCUCUUAAUAUAGUCUACUUGAGGGGUUGUGUGAAAGGUAUUUGAGAAAGCCUAUGGAAGUUCUAUUUAAGCAGCAAAAUGUUGAAUAAAUUGCGUUAGCCACCAUGUUCAGCACAGCGGCCCUUCUCUCAGGUCAGCACCUAAAGGACCUGCAGGCCCCAUUUAUUGGGUGCCCACCGACCUGUGAUACACAAGAACAUACUAAGGGUUGUCUGUACCCUGCAGGAACCACCAGUGUAGUCUCACCAUUUUGGGGUUAAAAAGUUAGCUACCCCAAGAGUCUGGAAGUUAUGAACAUCCUGUCUUCCUUGGGAUUAUAUCUCCUCGGGUACAUUUUACAUAGUAACUAUUUCACCUUGUAACUGUGUCUUUUCCUGGCCAAGUCACCUCCUACCUUUGAAACACCUUGUUUCUGAAUUAGAUGCAUACGUUAUUCACUCCUUUCUAUCUUAAGCACAUUUUUCAAUUCCUUUUACUCCAUCAGCCACCUGGGUCUGGACAGCCUGGGGUCAGGGUGGCAGCUGGCUUUGGAGGUGGUCAUCAGACUGCUGACCAGUUUUAUGUCCAAACUGAAAGAACUGAUCUCUCAGCAGAGUCAAAGAAGUUACGACAUCCUUUGGGCUAGAAUAAGGAGUCAAGCUUCACAUAGAAAUUUUGACACCCAGGAGUGGGUGCAAUUUUCUAGCUCUCCUCAAACUCCUCCCUCCUCCGCAAAGGCCCUCACUGGGAACAGAAUCCUUGACUUCCGGUGCCCCCAUCCUGUGCGUGAACCUGGCAGGAGUUCACUUAGGAGCACCAGGCUCCCCUCUCAGAAAAUGCCAUCAGUCCCAGCUCCUCCAAUGCCGUCCUGAGCAGUGCCUGGGAGGGCACUUCAUUUCUGUGAGCUUCUGUUUCCUCAUCUGCAAAUCAGGAGGAUGAGCUCCCUUGUCCACAAGGCCCCCUCCAUUCCUAACCCUAGUAAUAUGUAAUGACACUCGCACACCUAUGGCACUGAUUGAACAGACAGGGCUUUCCUUUUUUCUCUUUUUUUGACAAUAUUUGAAAUGAUAAAAAGACUAUUUUCUUUAUUCUUGGCUCUGAAAGGGUGAGACAAACCUCUAAUGUGUCUACUUAAAAGAAAGGAAAAACGUUAGCUCCUAGGAGAAUGUGAUAUAUAAACAUAUCACACUGCUUUAAUCUAUGCAAAAAUAUUCAAUUAUUCAUUGAGUUCCUAGUAGAUAGCAGACAUGUGCUAAAUAUUACACAGGAUUACUUAUGUACAUUCUUAAUCAGCCUUACCAUCCAAUUCUGUUCUACCUUACCACCCAAUCAGAGAAAGAAAAUCAUCCCUGAUGUGUACUAGAGGUAGGAUCUGGUGUAAACGUCACUGAGCCAGGAUUUAGGAGACCUCAGUACAGAGUGAACUACUUCUGUCUCUCUUUCUAGCUGGGACACGGCUCCCAUCCAAACAAAUUAAUUUCGGGCUCAAUCAUUGCAAUGGGUUCCUCCAAUCCUUUCCAGCUCUUAAAUUAUACCAUCUGCAAAAGACUGUUGCAAAAGAUAUCCACCUUCUUUAGCCAUUCUUUAAUUUGCAAUUCUUAAUGCAAAUUAAAACAAUAAGAUAUCACUACACACCUGGCACAAUAGCUAAGAUAAAUAUUGGCAACACCAAAUGCUGGAGAAGAUGAAGAUAAACUGGAUGCUUCCUACAUUGUUUGUAGACUAUAACAUGGUACAGCGCCUCUGGAAAACAGUUUGGCAGUUUCUUAUAAAACUAAACAUGCAUCUACAAUACAACCCCACAAUUGCACUCAUGCACAUGUAUUGCAGAGAAAUGAAAACAGGCUCAUACAAAAACCUGCACAUGCCUAUUCAUAGAUUUAUUCAUAUUAGCAUAAAAUAGGAAACAACCCAUAUGUUCUUCAGUGGGUGAAGGGUUAAACAAACUGUGAUACAUCCAUACUGUGGAAUAUUAUUCAGUGGUAAAAAGGAACAAACUAUCGAUACAUACAACAUCUUGGAUCAAUCUCCAGGGCAUUACACUAAAUGGAAAAAAACAAUGCCAAAAUGUUAUAUACUGUAUGCUUCCAUUUAUAUAGCAUGUUAAAAUAACAAAAUUAGAGAAAUGGAAAAUAGAUUAGUGGUUGCCAGGGAUCAGCGAUGGGGGAGGGGUGAAAUGGGAAGCUGGAUGUGGUAUAGUAUGUCAACAAGAGGAAUCUUUGUGGCGAUGGAAUUGUUCUGUAUCUUGACUGUAUCAACGUCAAUAUUUCGGAUAUCACACUUUAGUUUUCAAGAUGUUACCAUUGGGGGAAACUGGGUAAGGUUUACAGGUUAUGCAGUACAUAGGAUUUCUGUAUCUUAUUUCUUACCACUGCAUUUGAAUCUGCGAUCCCCUCAAAUAAAAAGUUUAAUUUAAAACAAA